rnacentral:rRNA from 1 species
ACCAUCCAAGUCGAGCNGGUAAGGCCCCUUUUCGNGGUCCGGGGAGGCAAACGGGUGAGUAACACGUGAGCAACCUACCCUCAACUUUUUUACAAGCCUCGGAAACAGAAAUCUAAUACCGGAUAUGAUCUCCUGCUUCAUGGUGGGGGGUUGAAAGUUCUGGCGGUUGGGGAUGGGCUCGCGGCCUAUCAGCUUGUUGGUGGGGUAAUGGCCUACCAAGGCGUCGACGGGUAGCCGGCCUGAGAGGGCGACCGGCCACACUGGGACUGAGACACGGCCCAGACUCCUACGGGAGGCAGCAGUGGG